GACGAACGCUGGCGGCGUGCUUAACACAUGCAAGUCGAACGGAAAGGCCCUGCUUUUGUGGGGUGCUCGAGUGGCGAACGGGUGAGUAACACGUGAGUAACCUGCCCUUGACUUUGGGAUAACUUCAGGAAACUGGGGCUAAUACCGGAUAGGAGCUCCUGCUGCAUGGUGGGGGUUGGAAAGUUUCGGCGGUGGGGGAUGGACUCGCGGCUUAUCAGCUUGUUGGUGGGGUAGUGGCUUACCAAGGCUUUGACGGGUAGCCGGCCUGAGAGGGUGACCGGCCACAUUGGGACUGAGAUACGGACCAGACUCCUACGGGAGGCAGCAGUGGGGAAUAUUGCACAAUGGGCGGAAGCCUGAUGCAGCAACGCCGCGUGCGGGAUGACGGCCUUCGGGUUGUAAACCGCUUUCGCCUGUGACGAAGCGUGAGUGACGGUAAUGGGUAAAGAAGCACCGGCUAACUACGUG
rnacentral:rRNA from 1 species